rnacentral:rRNA from 1 species
GACGAACGCUGGCGGCGUGCUUAACACAUGCAAGUCGAGCGGUAAGGCCCCUCCGGGGGCACACGAGCGGCGAACGGGUGAGUAACACGUGAGCAACCUGCCCCUGACUCCGGGAUAAGCGGUGGAAACGCCGUCUAAUACCUGAUACGACCCUCCGGCUCAUGCCGUGGGGGUGGAAAGUUUUUUCGGUUGGGGAUGGGCUCGCGGCCUAUCAGCUUGUUGGUGGGGUAAAGGCCUACCAAGGCGAUUACGGGUAGCCGGCCUGAGAGGGCGACCGGCCACACUGGGACUGAGACACGGCCCAGACUCCUGCGGGAGGCAGCAGUGGGGAAUCUUGCGCAAUGGGCGAAAGCCUGACGCAGCGACGCCGCGUGGGGGAUGACGGCCUUCGGGUUGUAAACUCCUUUUACCACUCACGCAGGCCCGGAGUGUUCUUCGGGUUGACGGUAGGUGGGGAAUAAGGACCGGCUAACUACGUGCCAGCAGCCGCGGUAA